rnacentral:rRNA from 1 species
ACCAGACUCCUACGGGAGGCAGCAGUGGGGGAUAUUGCACAAUGGGGGGAACCCUGAUGCAGCGACGCCGCGUGGGUGAAGAAGCGCCUCGGCGCGUAAAGCCCUGUCAGCAGGGAAGAAAAUGACGGUACCUGAAGAAGAAGCCCCGGCUAACUACGUGCCAGCAGCCGCGGUAAUACGUAGGGGGCAAGCGUUAUCCGGAUUUACUGGGUGUAAAGGGGGCGCAGACGGCGAUGCAAGCCAGGAGUGAAAGCCCGGGGCCCAACCCCGGGACUGCUCUUGGAACUGCGUGGCUGGAGUGCAGGAGGGGCAGGCGGAAUUCCUGGUGUAGCGGUGAAAUGCGUAGAUAUCAGGAGGAACACCGGUGGCGAAGGCGGCCUGCUGGACUGCAACUGACGUUGAGGCCCGAAAGCGUGGGGAGCAAACAGGAUUAGAUACCCCAGUAAGA